AUUGUUUGUAUCAAUAACAAUUAUCUGUGUAGUAUCUGUUCUUAUCAGUUUAAUAUCUGAUAUGUUCUCUAAACGAGAACGUUAUAUUAAACAGAUUUUUAGAACAGGGAGCUGGAAUAUGGGGGCUUGCUCCUUCUGCUCCACGCAUCAACCUGGUAUUGCAGUACUGGGCGGCACGGUGGUGUAGUGGUU